GGAGGAAAACUUAUACCCAGGAUCUGACGUGUAUUUUUCACGGCAAGCUGGAAACAGACGUUGGCGAGGCAGUACAAUACGAAGAGAGGAAGCACCAUAAAGAUCUGUGAGAGAAUCAGGAGAGUAAGAAGUGCCAAGUUAAUUGCGGGGCAAAGAUUGAAGACAAUCGGAAAACUUACUCCCAUAAAAGGCGUUUUCUGAAUGAGUCCCCAUAUGAUGUACCACACAAGAAAGAUGGCGGCCAGGACUGCAGCUCCGUUAGGUACCAGGACGGAGAUGUUAUCAGUAGUAUAGCAUCCUUGGAACCGGAAUUGUGCAAAGAAAGUCAGCAUGGCCAGUACUACCAGAGGCUGAGGGUGCAAAGGAUACAGAUCGAGUGUUUAUCAUUCCUUAUCACUGCCAUCAUCAACAUUGUGAAAGCUAGCCGACCAAACUCGUCAAAAUAUCAUAAUCAACAACACCAUUAUAAAAAAACCCGCCAAAGUAGUUACCGCUAUCUUCAAAACAGAUCAUCAUCAACAUCAACAUCACCACCAUCAUCGCCAUCGCCAUCGCAACCAUCACCACCGCCACCGCCUUCACCAUCACUAUCAUCAUCAUUACAAAUAUUAAUCAUUACCAUAAACAUCAUCAUUCAACAUCAUUAUCAUCACCGGCAUAACCAACGUCGCCAUUACCGCCAUUAUUGCUAUCAUGUCCACUACUAUCACUAUAUCGAUUUACUUUCUUACCAUGAAUAAAUAAUGCCCAAGCUUUG